AUUGGACGCUGGCGGCAGGCCUAACACAUGCAAGUCGAACGGUAGCGCAGAGAGCUUGCUCUCGGGUGACGAGUGGCGGACGGGUGAGUAACGUCUGGGAAACUGCCCGAUGGAGGGGGAUAACUACUGGAAACGGUAGCUAAUACCGCAUAACGUCGCAAGACCAAAGUGGGGGACCUUCGGGCCUCACACCAUCGGAUGUGCCCAGAUGGGAUUAGCUAGUAGGUGGGGUAAUGGCUCACCUAGGCGACGAUCCCUAGCUGGUCUGAGAGGAUGACCAGCCACACUGGAACUGAGACACGGUCCAGACUCCUACGGGAGGCAGCAGUGGGGAAUAUUGCACAAUGGGCGCAAGCCUGAUGCAGCCACGCCGCGUGUAUGAAGAAGGCCUUCGGGUUGUAAGUACUUUCAGCGGGGAGGAAGGCGGUGGAGUUAAUAACUUCACCGAUUGACGUUACCCGCAGAAGAAGCACCGGCUAACUCCGUGCCAGCCGCCGCCGUAA
rnacentral:rRNA from 1 species